rnacentral:rRNA from 1 species
GACGAACGCUGGCGGCGUGCCUAACACAUGCAAGUCGAACGGAAAGGCCCUGCUUUUGUGGGGUGCUCGAGUGGCGAACGGGUGAGUAACACGUGAGUAACCUGCCCUUGACUUUGGGAUAACGUCAGGAAACUGGGGCUAAUACCGGAUAGGAGCUCCUGCUGCAUGGUGGGGGUUGGAAAGUUUCGGCGGUUGGGGAUGGACUCGCGGGUUAUCAGCUUGUUGGUGGGGUAGUGGCUUACCAAGGCUUUGACGGGUAGCCGGCCUGAGAGGGUGACCGGCCCCAAUGGGACUGAGGUACGGCCCAGAGUCCUACGGGGGGCAGCAGUGGGGAAUAUUGCACAAUAAGCGGGAGCCUGUUGCGGCAGCGCCGCGUGCGGGAUGACGGCCUUCGGGUUGUAAACCGCUUUCGCCUGUGACGGAGCGUGAGUGACGGUAAUGGGUAAAGAAGCACCGGCUAACUACGUG